rnacentral:rRNA from 1 species
AUUCAGCGGCGGACGGGUGAGUAAUGCCUAGGAAUCUGCCUGGUAGUGGGGGACAACGUUUCGAAAGGAACGCUAAUACCGCAUACGUCCUACGGGAGAAAGCAGGGGACCUUCGGGCCUUGCGCUAUCAGAUGAGCCUAGGUCGGAUUAGCUAGUUGGUGAGGUAAUGGCUCACCAAGGCGACGAUCCGUAACUGGUCUGAGAGGAUGAUCAGUCACACUGGAACUGAGACACGGUCCAGACUCCUACGGGAGGCAGCAGUGGGGAAUAUUGGACAAUGGGCGAAAGCCUGAUCCAGCCAUGCCGCGUGUGUGAAGAAGGUCUUCGGAUUGUAAAGCACUUUAAGUUGGGAGGAAGGGCUGUAACCUAAUACGCUAGAGUUUUGACGUUACCGACAGAAUAAGCACCGGCUAACUCUGUGCCAGCAGCCGCGGUAAUACACAGGGUGCAAGCGUUAAUCGGAAUUACUGGGCGUAAAUUGCGCGUAUGUGGUUCGUCAAGUUGGAUCCGAAAUCCCCCGGCUCAUCCUGGGAAUGUUCUCCAUAAAUUUCGUUCUAUAGUAACGAAAAGGGUGGUGGAAUUUCCUGUGCAGCGUUGAAUUGCGUAGAUAUAGGAAGGUUCACCUAUGGAUUAGGCGACCACCUGAACUUUGACUUACGCUGUGGUGCAUGACCAUUGCGGAC